ACGGAAGGCAGCAGUGGGGAAUAUUGCACAAUGGGCGCAAGCCUGAUGCAGCAACGCCGCGUGAGGGAAGACGGUCUUCGGAUUGUAAACCUUUGUCUUUGGUGAAGAAGCAAGUGACGGUAGCCAAGGAGGAAGCCACGGCUAACUACGUGCCAGCAGCCGCGGUAAUACGUAGGUGGCAAGCGUUGUCCGGAAUUACUGGGUGUAAAGGGAGCGCAGGCGGGACUGCAAGUUGGAUGUGAAAUACCAAGGCUUAACCACGGAGCUGCAUCCAAAACUGUAGUUCUUGAGUGAAGUAGAGGCAGGCGGAAUUCCGAGUGUAGCGGUGAAAUGCGUAGAUAUUCGGAGGAACACCAGUGGCGAAGGCGGCCUGCUGGGCUUUAACUGACGCUGAGGCUCGAAAGUGUGGGGAGCAAACAGGAUUAGAUACCCUGGUA
rnacentral:rRNA from 1 species